rnacentral:rRNA from 1 species
AUUGAACGCUGGCGGCAGGCCUAACACAUGCAAGUCGAACGGUAACAGGAAGAAGCUUGCUUCUUUGCUGACGAGUGGCGGACGGGUGAGUAAUGUCUGGGAAACUGCCUGAUGGAGGGGGAUAACUACUGGAAACGGUAGCUAAUACCGCAUAACGUCGCAAGACCAAAGAGGGGGACCUUCGGGCCUCUUGCCAUCGGAUGUGCCCAGAUGGGAUUAGCUAGUAGGUGGGGUAACGGCUCACCUAGGCGACGAUCCCUAGCUGGUCUGAGAGGAUGACCAGCCACACUGGAACUGAGACACGGUCCAGACUCCUACGGGAGGCAGCAGUGGGGAAUAUUGCACAAUGGGCGCAAGCCUGAUGCAGCCAUGCCGCGUGUAUGAAGAAGGCCUUCGGGUUGUAAAGUACUUUCAGCGGGGAGGAAGGGAGUAAAGUUAAUACCUUUGCUCAUUGACGUUACCCGCAGAAGAAGCACCGGCUAACUCCGUGCCAGCAGCCGCGGUAAUACGGAGGGUGCAAGCGUUAAUCGGAAUUACUGGGCGUAAAGCGCACGCAGGCGGUUUGUUAAGUCAGAUGUGAAAUCCCCGGGCUCAACCUGGGAACUGCAUCUGAUACUGGCAAGCUUGAGUCUCGUAGAGGGGGGUAGAAUUCCAGGUGUAGCGGUGAAAUGCGUAGAGAUCUGGAGGAAUACCGGUGGCGAAGGCGGCCCCCUGGACGAAGACUGA